UUUAUACUCCCUCCGUCCGAAAAUACUUGUCACGGAAAUGAAUAAAAAUGGAUGCAUCUAAAACUAAAAUAUGACUAGAUACAUCCAUCCCUUCAACAAGUAUUUCUGGACGGAGGGAGUACAUC
rfam:Triticum aestivum genome assembly, contig: Triticum_aestivum_CS42_TGACv1_scaffold_131463_2BL